UCCGUAGGUGAACCUGCGGAAGGAUCAUUAUUGUACAACGGAGGUGCAAGGGCUGUCGCUGACCCUUCAAAGGUCGUGCACGUCCGAGCACGCUCUCACACAAUCCAUCUCACCCCUUUGUGCAUCACCGCGUGGGUCCCCCCCUUUGUGGGAGGGCUUGCGUUUUCAUACAAAACUCGAUACAGUGUAGAAUGUUCUUUUUUGCGGUCACACGCAAUCAAUACAACUUUCAACAACGGACCUCUUGGCUCUCGCAUCGAUGAAGAACGCAGCGAAAUGCGAUACGUAAUGUGAAUUGCAGAAUUCAGUGAAUCAUCGAAUCUUUGAACGCACCUUGCGCCCCUUGGCAUUCCGAGGGGCACACCCGUUUGAGUGUCGUGAAAUUCUCAAAAACCCUUUCCUUUGAUCGGAUUUUUGGACUUGGAGGUUCAAUGCUCGCCUUCAGCUUUUGAAAGCGAGCUCCUCUCAAAUACAUUAGUGGGGUCCGCUUUGCUGGUCCUUGACGUGAUAAGAUGUUUCUACGUUUUGGAUUUGGCACUGUCCCUUUGGAUCCUGCUCCCAACCCGUCCGUCUCACGGACAACGAUGGUGCUCCGGUCACCGCCAUUUACAUCGGCGGGAGGCUGGACCCACAAAAAACGAACCUUGACCUCAAAUCGGGUGAGACUACCCCGCUGAACUUAAGCAUAUCAAUAAGCGGAGGA
rnacentral:rRNA from 1 species